ACGGGGUGCAGCAGGCGCGAAAACUUUGCAAUGUGCGAAAGCACGACAAGGUUAAUCCGAGUGGUUUCUGCUAAAGGAACCUUUUGUUAGUCCUAGAAACACUAACGAAUAAGGGGUGGGCAAGUUCUGGUGUCAGCCGCCGCGGUAAAACCAGCACCUCAAGUGGUCAGGAUGAUUAUUGGGCCUAAAGCAUCCGUAGCCGGCUCUGUAAGUUUUCGGUUAAAUCUGUACGCUUAACGUACAGGCUGCCGGGAAUACUGCAGAACUAGGGAGUGGGAGAGGUAGACGGUACUCGGGAGGAAGUGGUAAAAUGCUUUGAUCUCUCGAUGACCACCUGUGGCGAAGGCGGUCUACCAGAACACGUCCGACGGUGAGGGAUGAAAGCUGGGGGAGCAAACCGGAUUAGAUACCCGGGUAGUCCCAGCUGUAAACUAUGCAAACUCGGUGAUGCAUUGGCUUGAUGCCAAUGCAGUGCCGCAGGGAA
rnacentral:rRNA from 1 species